rnacentral:rRNA from 3 species
UUAAGCGACUAAGCGUACACGGUGGAUGCCCUGGCAGUCAGAGGCGAUGAAGGACGUGCUAAUCUGCGAAAAGCGUCGGUAAGGUGAUAUGAACCGUUACAGCCGGCGAUGUCCGAAUGGGGAAACCCAGUGUGAUUCGUCACACUAUCGUUAACUGAAUACAUAGGUUAACGAGGCGAACCGGGGGAACUGAAACAUCUAAGUACCCCGAGGAAAAGAAAUCAACCGAGAUUCCCCCAGUAGCGGCGAGCGAACGGGGAGCAGCCCAGAGUCUGAAUCAGCUUGUGUGUUAGUGGAACGGUCUGGAAAGUCCGACGGUACAGGGUGAUAGUCCCGUACACCAAAAUGCACAGGCUGUGAACUCGAAGAGUAGGGCGGGACACGUGGUAUCCUGUCUGAAUAUGGGGGGACCAUCCUCCAAGGCUAAAUACUCCUGACUGACCGAUAGUGAACCAGUACCGUGAGGGAAAGGCGAAAAGAACCCCGGCGAGGGGAGUGAAAAAGAACCUGAAACCGUGUACGUACAAGCAGUGGGAGCACCUUCGGGUGUGACUGCGUACCUUUUGUAUAAUGGGUCAGCGACUUAUAUUCUGUAGCAAGGUUAACCGUAUAGGGGAGCCGCAGGGAAACCGAGUCUUAACUGGGCGUUAAGUUGCAGGGUAUAGACCCGAAACCCGGUGAUCUAGCCAUGGGCAGGUUGAAGGUUGGGUAACACUAACUGGAGGACCGAACCGACUAAUGUUGAAAAAUUAGCGGAUGACUUGUGGCUGGGGGUGAAAGGCCAAUCAAACCGGGAGAUAGCUGGUUCUCCCCGAAAGCUAUUUAGGUAGCGCCUCGUGAAUUCAUCUUCGGGGGUAGAGCACUGUUUCGGCUAGGGGGUCAUCCCGACUUACCAACCCGAUGCAAACUACGAAUACCGAAGAAUGUUAUCACGGGAGACACACGGCGGGUGCUAACGUCCGUCGUGAAGAGGGAAACAACCCAGACCGCCAGCUAAGGUCCCAAAGUCACAGUUAAGUGGGAAACGAUGUGGGAAGGCACAGACAGCCAGGAUGUUGGCUUAGAAGCAGCCAUCAUUUAAAGAAAGCGUAAUAGCUCACUGGUCGAGUCGGCCUGCGCGGAAGAUGUAACGGGGCUAAACUGUGCACCGAAGCUGCGGCAGCGACACUAUGUGUUGUUGGGUAGGGGAGCGUUCUGUAAGCCUGCGAAGGUGGCCUGUGAGGGUUGCUGGAGGUAUCAGAAGUGCGAAUGCUGACAUAAGUAACGAUAAUGCGGGUGAAAAGCCCGCACGCCGGAAGACCAAGGGUUCCUGUCCAACGUUAAUCGGGGCAGGGUGAGUCGACCCCUAAGGCGAGGCCGAAAGGCGUAGUCGAUGGGAAACAGGUUAAUAUUCCUGUACUUGGUGUUACUGCGAAGGGGGGACGGAGAAGGCUAUGUUAGCCGGGCGACGGUUGUCCCGGUUUAAGCAUGUAGGCGGAGGUUCCAGGUAAAUCCGGUACCUUUUUAACGCUGAGGUGUGAUGACGAGGCACUACGGUGCUGAAGUAACAAAUGCCCUGCUUCCAGGAAAAGCCUCUAAGCAUCAGGUAACAUUAAAUCGUACCCCAAACCGACACAGGUGGUCAGGUAGAGAAUACCAAGGCGCUUGAGAGAACUCGGGUGAAGGAACUAGGCAAAAUGGUGCCGUAACUUCGGGAGAAGGCACGCUGAUAUGUAGGUGAAGCCCCUGCGGGUGGAGCUGAAAUCAGUCGAAGAUACCAGCUGGCUGCAACUGUUUAUUAAAAACACAGCACUGUGCAAACACGAAAGUGGACGUAUACGGUGUGACGCCUGCCCGGUGCCGGAAGGUUAAUUGAUGGGGUUAUCCGUAAGGAGAAGCUCUUGAUCGAAGCCCCGGUAAACGGCGGCCGUAACUAUAACGGUCCUAAGGUAGCGAAAUUCCUUGUCGGGUAAGUUCCGACCUGCACGAAUGGCGUAAUGAUGGCCAGGCUGUCUCCACCCGAGACUCAGUGAAAUUGAACUCGCUGUGAAGAUGCAGUGUACCCGCGGCAAGACGGAAAGACCCCGUGAACCUUUACUAUAGCUUGACACUGAACAUUGAGCCUUGAUGUGUAGGAUAGGUGGGAGGCUUUGAAGCGUGGACGCCAGUCUGCGUGGAGCCAACCUUGAAAUACCACCCUUUAAUGUUUGAUGUUCUAACGUUGGCCCCUUAUCGGGGUUGCGGACAGUGUCUGGUGGGUAGUUUGACUGGGGCGGUCUCCUCCCAAAGAGUAACGGAGGAGCACGAAGGUUAGCUAAUCCUGGUCGGACAUCAGGAGGUUAGUGCAAUGGCAUAAGCUAGCUUGACUGCGAGCGUGACGGCGCGAGCAGGUGCGAAAGCAGGUCAUAGUGAUCCGGUGGUUCUGAAUGGAAGGGCCAUCGCUCAACGGAUAAAAGGUACUCCGGGGAUAACAGGCUGAUACCGCCCAAGAGUUCAUAUCGACGGCGGUGUUUGGCACCUCGAUGUCGGCUCAUCACAUCCUGGGGCUGAAGUAGGUCCCAAGGGUAUGGCUGUUCGCCAUUUAAAGUGGUACGCGAGCUGGGUUUAGAACGUCGUGAGACAGUUCGGUCCCUAUCUGCCGUGGGCGCUGGAGAAUUGAGGGGGGCUGCUCCUAGUACGAGAGGACCGGAGUGGACGCAUCACUGGUGUUCGGGUUGUCAUGCCAAUGGCAUUGCCCGGUAGCUAAAUGCGGAAGAGAUAAGUGCUGAAAGCAUCUAAGCACGAAACUUGCCCCGAGAUGAGUUCUCCCUGACUCCUUGAGAGUCCUGAAGGAACGUUAAAGACGAUGACGUUGAUAGGUCGGGUGUGUAAGCGUAGCGAUACGUUGAGCUAACCGAUACUAAUGAACCGUGAGGCUUAACCUU